GAUGCAGAACGUAGCGAAAUGCGAUAAGUAAUGUGAAUUGCAGAAUUCAGUGAAUCAUCGAAUCUUUGAACGCACAUUGCGCCCUCUGGUAUUCCGGGGGGCAUGCCUGUUCGAGCGUCAUUACAACCCUCAAGCUUUGCUUGGUAUUGGACAUUGCCAGUUUCUGGCAGGUCUUAAAAUCAGUGGCGGUGCCAUUUGGCUUCAAGCGUAGUAAUUCUUCUCGCUUUGGAGAUCCAGGUGGUUACUUGCCAAUAACCCCCAAUUUUUUCAGGUUGACCUCGGAUCAGGUAGGGAUACCCGCUGAACUUAAGCAUAUCAAUAAGCGGAGGA
rnacentral:misc_RNA from 1 species